CGAACGCUGGUCGNGUGCUUAAGAGAAGCAAGUGGUGCGACGAACCAGGGCUUGCCCUGGGGCUUUUCCCCGAACGGGUGAGUAACACGUGGGUAACCUGCCCCGAUGACCGGGACAACCCGAGGAAACUCGGGCUAAUACCGGAUGUGGUGCACAGACAUAAGUCCGUGUACUAAAGGAAGCUUCGGCCUCCGCAUUGGGAGGGGCCCGCGGCCCAUUAGCUUGUUGGUGGGGUCACGGCCUACCAAGGCGACGAUGGGUAGCUGGUCUGAGAGGACGAUCAGCCACACUGGGACUGAGACACGGCCCAGACUCCUACGGGAGGCAGCAGUGGG
rnacentral:rRNA from 1 species